rnacentral:rRNA from 1 species
GAUGAACGCUGGCGGCGUGCCUAAUACAUGCAAGUCGAGCGAACAGAUGAGGAGCUUGCUCCUCUGACGUUAGCGGCGGACGGGUGAGUAACACGUGGAUAACCUACCUAUAAGACUGGGAUAACUUCGGGAAACCGGAGCUAAUACCGGAUAAUAUAUUGAACCGCAUGGUUCAAUAGUGAAAGACGGUUUUGCUGUCACUUAUAGAUGGAUCCGCGCCGCAUUAGCUAGUUGGUAAGGUAACGGCUUACCAAGGCGACGAUGCGUAGCCGACCUGAGAGGGUGAUCGGCCACACUGGAACUGAGACACGGUCCAGACUCCUACGGGAGGCAGCAGUAGGGAAUCUUCCGCAAUGGGCGAAAGCUUGACGGAGCAAAGCCGCGUGAGUGAUGAAGGUCUUCGGAUCGUAAAACUCUGUUAUUAGGGAAGAACAAAUGUGUAAGUAACUAUGCACGUCUUGACGGUACCUAAUCAGAAAGCCACGGCUAACUACGUG